CCUACGGGAGGCUGCAGUGGGGAAUAUUGGACAAUGGGCGAAAGCCUGAUCCAGCCAUGCCGCGUGUGUGAAGAAGGCCUUCGGGUUGUAAAGCACUUUCAGUGGGGAAGAAAGCCUUGGGGCUAAUACCCUCGAGGAAGGACAUCACCCACAGAAGAAGCACCGGCUAACUCCGUGCCAGCAGCCGCGGUAAUACGGAGGGUGCGAGCGUUAAUCGGAAUUACUGGGCGUAAAGCGCGCGUAGGCGGUCUGAUAAGCCGGUUGUGAAAGCCCCGGGCUCAACCUGGGAACGGCAUCCGGAACUGUCAGGCUAGAGCGCAGGAGAGGAAGGUAGAAUUCCCGGUGUAGCGGUGAAAUGCGUAGAGAUCGGGAGGAAUACCAGUGGCGAAGGCGGCCUUCUGGACUGACACUGACGCUGAGGUGCGAAAGCGUGGGUAGCAAACAGGAUUAGAUACCCGGGUAGUC
rnacentral:rRNA from 1 species